rnacentral:rRNA from 1 species
AGAGUUUUGAUCCUGGCGUCAGGAUGAACGCUAGCGGCAGGCUUAACACAUGCAAGUCGGGCGGGCGAGCGGGGUGGGAGGCUUGCUCCCACUGCCGGCGAGCGGCGCACGGGUGAGUAACACGUAUGCAACCCUGCCCCUGUCAGGGGGACAACCGCCGAAAGGCGGGCUAAGCCCGCGUAUAUCGCCCCGGGGCAUCCCGGGGGAGGAAAGGAGCGAUCCGGACAGGGAUGGGCAUGCGGCGCAUUAGCUGGUCGGCGGGGUAACGGCCCACCGAGGCGACGAUGCGUAGGGGUUCUGAGAGGAAGGCCCCCCACACUGGUACUGAGACACGGACCAGACUCCUACGGGAGGCAGCAGUGAGGAAUAUUGGUCAAUGGGCGGGAGCCUGAACCAGCCAAGCCGCGUGAGGGAAGAAGGUACAGCGUAUCGUAAACCUCUUUUGUCAGGGAACAAAGGCGGGGACUAGUCCCCGGAUGAGGGUACCUGAAGAAAAAGCAUCGGCUAACUCCGUG